rnacentral:rRNA from 1 species
AACGAACGCUGGCGGCAUGCCUAACACAUGCAAGUCGAACGAGACCUUCGGGUCUAGUGGCGCACGGGUGCGUAACGCGUGGGAACCUGCCCUUAGGUUCGGAAUAACUCCCCGAAAGGGGUGCUAAUACCGGAUAAUGUCUUCGGACCAAGGAUUUAUCGCCUUUGGAUGGGCCCGCGUUGGAUUAGCUAGUUGGUAGGGUAAAAGCCUACCAAGGCGACGAUCCAUAGCUGGUCUGAGAGGAUGGUCAGCCACACUGGGACUGAGACACGGCCCAGACUCCUACGGGAGGCAGCAGUGGGGAAUAUUGGACAAUGGGGGAAAGCCUGACCCAGCAAUGCCGCGUGAGUGAUGAAGGCCUUAGGGUUGUAAAGCUCUUUUACCCGGGAUGAUAAUGACAGUACCGGGAGAAUAAGCUCCGGCUAACUCCGUG